AGGGGAGUAGCUCAACUGGUAGAGCAUCGGUCUCCAAAACCGAGGGUUGCGGGUUCGAGUCCUGUCUCCCCUGCCA
rnacentral:tRNA from 1 species